rnacentral:rRNA from 1 species
CGUAGGGGGCAAGCGUUGUCCGGAUUUAUUGGGCGUAAAGCGCGUGUAGGCGGCCAGGUAGGUCUGGUGUGAAAACUCGAGGCUCAACCUCGAGAGGUCAUCGGAAACCAUCUGGCUAGAGUCCGGAAGAGGAGAGUGGAAUUCCCGGUGUAGCGGUGAAAUGCGCAGAUAUCGGGAAGAACACCUAUGGCGAAGGCAGCUCUCUGGGACGGUACUGACGCUGAGACGCGAAAGCGUGGGGAGCGAACAGGAUUAGAUACCCUGGUAGUCCACGCCGUAAACGAUGGGUGCUAGGUGUGGGUGGUGUCGACUCCAUCCGUGCCGAAGCUAACGCAUUAAGCACCCCGCCUGGGGAGUACGGCCGCAAGGCUA